GUACCCAAUAAGUGCCCAUCAAGUUCCUUCUGUUCUACAGCCAGCAAUGCCCUCCUGGACCAACUCAAGUAAUUUGUGGCCCUCUCCAGCUUUAUGUCCAAGGGUGACAUUUCGAGCUUCUGAGCCACUUCGUGUCGAGGAACGAUGGCCCCAGAGUUGGACUCUGCGAGGAUCUUAGCGAGCUUCUCAAAAGCCGCAGCAAGCGCAUUUGGUUCAGCCAUCUCCGAUCCGGUAACCAGCAACAGCAGCCCUCAGCAGCACAGCCCUACAGCN
rnacentral:lncRNA from 1 species